rnacentral:sRNA from 1 species
ACUAGCACCAGCCCCGUGUGCACUCAGCCUGCCAAGACCACGGCCUUGUAAGGAUAAGUUACUUAAUUUAGUUUCACUUGGUCAUAAAGCAUGAGACAGCCUCAUUUACUGGCUUCUGCUUUUAAUGCUUUAUCAAGGAUAAGGAGGAACUUCUAAUCAUUUUUUUUGAAACUUUUAUAUGUGUUAAGUUUCCAGGGCAAUAGACAAAGACAGAUAAUCUACAGGGUAACUUCCCAACAAGAUAGUUCUGUCUUGCAAGUCAUCAGUGGGCCUGAAACAUCUGUACAAGAAGAGAUAUCUGUGGAUGCUAUGCAUGUCUUCAUUGAUGAACAUGGGGAAAUUAGAUCCUGUUAUUUAAAAUCUGGAAAUCAGAAAGAAGGCCCUUUACAGCCUCUACCAUCAAAUAAUGACUGUCUCUCUCAGGCUCGAGAGAUGCAGGUCAGCUCCUCCAGUACCACAACUUCUGAGAGUCAAGAUCCAUCUUCUGGGGACCCUGCUGUCAGUGCCCUUCAGCAACAGCUGUUACUGAUGGUGGCUCGCAGGACCCAGUCAGAAACCCCACGGCAUGUGAGUCAGGAUCUGGAAGCCUCGUCAUGUUCUUCAACACAAGGAAAAUUUAAUCGAGAGCAGUUUUACAAAUUUAUCGUUUUCCCUGGCAAGUGGAUUAAAGUCUGGUACGAUCGACUGACCUUGCUGGCAUUACUUGAUCGAACUGAAGACAUCAAGGAGAAUGUACUGGCGAUUUUACUCAUUGUCCUGGUUUCCCUCCUUGGAUUUCUGACCUUGAGCCAAGGCUUUUGCAAAGAUAUGUGGGUGCUCCUCUUCUGCCUCGUCAUGGCCAGCUGCCAGUACUCCCUGCUAAAGAGUGUUCAGCCUGACCCCGCCUCACCAAUACACGGACACAACCAAAUCAUAACAUAUAGCAGACCAAUCUAUUUUUGUGUGCUGUGUGGCCUUAUUUUGCUUCUUGAUACAGGGGCCAAAGCCAGGCACCCUCCCAGUUACGUUGUGUAUGGCCUGAAGCUCUUCUCUCCAGUGUUUCUACAAUCAGCUAGGGACUACUUAAUAGGGGAAAAUUAUGUACAGCCACAAAGACUUUUUAAUUUUUUACUUCUGGAAAAAAAAAGGACAAAAUAAUUUCAGCAAUUUCAAGUGUCAUUUUCCUAAAGUCCUGGUAACAUAACAAGCAUUUGGCUGCUUUUUCCUUCACGUUCACUGCAACCUGACAGAUGAGACACAUGGACUCCCUCUUCCUCCCAUUCCACCUCCACGACAUUUAUUUUAAAGACUAGAGCUUUCCUCCUCCAGGAUGUUUUGGAGAGGAUCUAGUGCAUGGACCUCCCUGUUGACUGCUGUUCUUCCUGUAUUGUUUCAUUAAGUUCCAAUUCUACACCCACAGCCAGAGCAUCUCCAGGGAUGACUUUCUGGUAUUUCUUACCAUUUUAUCUUCCUCAUGCCAUUUUUCAUUGUGUUCCAAUUCUUUUCAUUUCUUUGGGUUUUGUUGCAUUGGCUAAUGUAUUUCUUAUACAGAAUAUCUCUUUAUCCUUGAUUUACCAAAUAGCUCCCAAUAUCUGGCUUUGCCGUUCAUAUCAUUCCAUACCUAGACUUUUCCCUGUGGUUCUUCAUUCUCAGAGUAGUUUUUGUCACAUACACAUACAGCAUUUGGAAAGGCAAAUAAUAAAUCUCAUUGGACCUUCCCUCUGCCCUGAUCCAGAAUUGGCAGAUAUAGCAUAACACAAAAUUGUCAUUGCUGGAUUUUGACCCCAGAGUAAAGAGAAGCUCUUUUCAGUUUGUUUGAAAUUUUAUGGAAUUCUAUGGAUUAAAAUUUCUAUGCUC